UUCCGGUUGAUCCCGCCGGAGAUUACUGCUAUUAGGAUUCGACUAAGGCAUGCAAGGUUCCCUUCGGGGACCGAACUGCUCCGUAACACGUAGUCAACCUGACCUUAGGAGACGGACACCCCCGGGAAACUGGGGAUAAUCCGUCAUAGGGAAUUGUUGCUGGAAGGCUCUUUUCCUGAAAUCUUUCGGGGCCUAAGGAUGGGACUGCGGGAGAUUAGCUUGUUGUUGGGAUAAAAGCCCAACAAGGCUAUAAUCUCUACGGGUCAUGAGAGUGAUAGCCCGGAGACGCGCUCUGAGACAUUAGCGCGGGCCCUACGGGGCGCAGCAGUCGCGAAACCUUCACAAUGCGUGCAAGCGUGAUGAGGGAAUCCUAAGUGAGUUCGCUUUGCGAACUCUUUUGUCAAGUGUAAAAAGCUUGACGAAUAAGUGGUGGGCAAUACGGUUGCCAGCCGCCGCGGUAAUUACCGAGCCACGAGUGGUAAUCCCGGUUAUUGGGCCUGAAGUGUCCGUAGCCGGCCUAAUAAGUCUCUAGUGAAAUCUUGCAGUUAACUGUAAGGCUUGCUAGAGAUACUAUUAGGCUUGGGGCCGAGAGAGGUCAAUGGUACGUCAUGGGUAGGGGUAAAAUCCUUCAAUCCAUGGCGGACCACCUGUGGCGAUCUCGUGUAGAACGAGGCCACAAAAGGCGAUUGACUUGAGCGGACCCGACGGUGAGGGACGAAAGCUGGAGGAUCAACCCGGAUUAGAUACCCCGGUAGUC
rnacentral:rRNA from 1 species